UAGGGAAUCUUGGACAAUGGGCGAAAGCCUGAUCCAGCCAUGCCGCGUGAGUGAUGAAGGCCUUAGGGUUGUAAAGCUCUUUCGCCAGGGAAGAUAAUGACGGUACCUGGAUAAGAAGCCCCGGCUAACUUCGUGCCAGCAGCCGCGGUAAUACGAAGGGGGCUAGCGUUGUUCGGAAUUACUGGGCGUAAAGCGCACGUAGGCGGCUUUCCAAGUUGGAGGUGAAAUCCCCGGGCUUAACCCGGGAACUGCCUCCAAAACUGAAAUGCUAGAGUCCGAGAGAGGUGAGUGGAAUUUCCAGUGUAGAGGUGAAAUUCGUAGAUAUUGGAAAGAACACCAGUGGCGAAGGCGGCUCACUGGCUCGGUACUGACGCUGAGGUGCGACAGCGUGGGGAGCAAACA
rnacentral:rRNA from 1 species